UGGGGAAUUUUGGAUAAUGGGCGCAAGCCUGAUCCAGCCAUGCCGCGUGCGGGAAGAAGGCCUUCGGGUUGUAAACCGCUUUUGUCAGGGAAGAAAUCUUCUGAGUUAAUACCUCGGGAGGAUGACGGUACCUGAAGAAUAAGCACCGGCUAACCACGUGCCAGCAGCCGCGGUAAUACGUAGGGUGCAAGCGUUAAUCGGAAUUACUGGGCGUAAAGCGUGCGCAGGCGGUUUUGUAAGACAGAGGUGAAAUCCCCGGGCUCAACCUGGGAACUGCCUUUGUGACUGCAAGGCUUGAGUGCGGCAGAGGGGGAUGGAAUUCCGCGUGUAGCAGUGAAAUGCGUAGAUAUGCGGAGGAACACCGAUGGCGAAGGCAAUCCCCUGGGCCUGCACUGACGCUCAUGCACGAAAGCGUGGGGAGCAAACAGGAUUAGAUACCCUGGUAGUCCACGCCCUAAACGAUGUCAACUGGUUGUUGGGAAGGUUCCUUCUCAGUAACGUAGCUAACGCGUGAAGUUGACCGCCUGGGGAGUACGGCCGCAAGGUUG
rnacentral:rRNA from 1 species